CCUACGGGAGGCUGCAGUGGGGAAUAUUGCACAAUGGGCGAAACCCUGAUGCAGCAACGCCGCGUGAGUGAAGAAGGCUUUCGGUAUGUAAAGCUCUAUCCGCAAGGAAGAAAAUGACGGUACCUGAGCAAGAAGCCCCGGCUAACUACGUGCCAGCAGCCGCGGUAAUACGUAGGGGGCUAGCGUUAUCCGGAUUUACUGGGCGUAAAGGGAGCGUAGACGGUUUGUUAAGUCGGAGGUGAAAGCCGGGGGCCCAACCCGGGGACGCCUUUGAAACUGGGGAACUUGAGUGCAGGAGGGGCAGGCGGAAUUCCGGGUGUAGCGGUGAAAUGCGUAGAUAUCAGGAGGAACACCGGCUGCGAAGGCGGCCUGCUGGACUGUAACUGACGCUGAGGCACGAAAGCGUGGGGAGCAAACAGGAUUAGAUACCCUAGUAGUC
rnacentral:rRNA from 1 species